rnacentral:rRNA from 1 species
AAUCAACGCUGGCGGCGUGCCUCAGACAUGCAAGUCGAACGCGAAAGUCCCCCUUCGGGGGGACAAGUAGAGUGGCGCACGGGGUGAGUAACACGUAGGUAAUCCACCUUCGGAUGGGGAAUAACAACCGGAAACGGUUGCUAAUACCGCAUAAUGCAGCGGCACCUAAUGGUGACAGUUGUUAAAGCGGGGGAUCGAAAGACCUCGCGUCUGAAGAGGAGCCUGCGGCGGAUUAGCUAGNGGUAAGGUAACGGCUUACCAAGGCGACGAUCCGUAGCCGGCCUGAGAGGGCGGUCGGCCACACUGACACUGACAUACGGGUCAGACUCCUACGGGAGGCAGCAGUCGGGAAUUUUGGGCAAUGGGCGAAAGCCCGACCCAGCAACGCCGCGUGAAGGAU